rnacentral:rRNA from 1 species
GUCUACCGCGAUACCACCCUGAACGCUCCCGAUCUCAUCUGAUCUCAGAAGCUAAGCAGGGUGGGGCAUGGUUAGUACUUGGAUGGGAGACU